AUUAAACGCUGGCGGCAUGCCUUACACAUGCAAGUCGAACGGCAGCACGGGUGCUUGCACCUGGUGGCGAGUGGCGAACGGGUGAGUAAUACAUCGGAACAUGUCCUGUAGUGGGGGAUAGCCCGGCGAAAGCCGGAUUAAUACCGCAUACGAUCUACGGAUGAAAGCGGGGGACCUUCGGGCCUCGCGCUAUAGGGUUGGCCGAUGGCUGAUUAGCUAGUUGGUGGGGUAAAGGCCUACCAAGGCGACGAUCAGUAGCUGGUCUGAGAGGACGACCAGCCACACUGGGACUGAGACACGGCCCAGACUCCUACGGGAGGCAGCAGUGGGGAAUUUUGGACAAUGGGCGAAAGCCUGAUCCAGCAAUGCCGCGUGUGUGAAGAAGGCCUUCGGGUUGUAAAGCACUUUUGUCCGGAAAGAAAUCCUUGGCCCUAAUACGGUCGGGGGAUGACGGUACCGGAAGAAUAAGCACCGGCUAACUACGUG
rnacentral:rRNA from 1 species